rnacentral:rRNA from 1 species
CCUACGGGGGGCAGCAGUGAGGAAUAUUGGUCAAUGGGCGAGAGCCUGAACCAGCCAAGUCGCGUGAAGGAUGACGGCCCUACGGGUGGUAAACUUCUUUUGUCAGGGAGCAAUUGGUUCCACGCGUGGGCUUAGCGAUUGUCCCUGAAGACAAAGCAUCGGCUAACUCCGUGCCAGCAGCCGCGGGAAUACGGAGGGUCCGAGCGUUAACCGGAUUUAUUGGGUUUAAAGGGUGCGUAGGCGGCCCUUUAAGUCAGCGGUGAAAGUCUGUGGCUCAACCAUAGAAUUGCCGUUGAAACUGGGAGGCUUGAGUAUGUUUGAGGCAGGCGGAAUGCGUGGUGUAGCGGUGAAAUGCGUAGAUAUCACGCAGAACCCCGAUUGCGAAGGCAGCCUGCCAAGCCAUGACUGACGCUGAUGCGCGAAAGCGUGGGGAUCAAACAGGAUUAGAUACCCUAGUAGUC